rnacentral:sRNA from 2 species
ACACAAAUAUAUGUCUAAAGCUUUGGGAUGACAAGGACACUCUUGCAAGCUCAUCCGACUGUCUAACCAUCUCAACAGCACAUCAAAUAUGUUAAAUCAGCCUUUGUGCUGUGAACUCUAGUUGCUCCAGGGCUUGCCUCAUUGUUACUUAAUAUUCCUGCUCAAUUGCUAACGUGCAGCGUGCUGUGCCACACCCUGAGAGCUUUGCUUAUUUGUGUGCUAUUUCAGGCAAUCCUGUGUUGCCUUAGCUUAUAUGUUUCACAGUGAUCUCAUCCCUCUUAGGAUUUAAUACUAGCCUGGUCAUGUCUUCUUUGUUUCUUGUCGUUUUUACUAUUCAUCAGCAUGCAGACAUAUAUGGGGUAUAUAUAUGUCUACUCCCCCAAAAAUGAUAAGUAAUGUCCGAUGUUGUUACCCAGCUUCUGAAAUGUUAUAUUUAUCUUGGAAAAUGAAAAUGAUUCGACAAACAGAAUUGUUGCUUGUUUUUGCCCUAACACUUCUGGGGCCUGUUCAUGCUAUCACAGGCCCUCCAACCCUGUUCGCUAAUUCAGCUGGCCAAGGAGAUUGCACACUGAUCGGGCGUCCUCACUUCAGUCAAGGUAUCCAAAAUACUACCUCUCGAAAUGUCUCCAUUGUCACACCUGUUGUAGCCAAUGCUGCCAGACCAGAAAUCCCUGUGAAUUUUGGGAAGGUAAUGCCUACAGGCUUCCCGCGACUAGAGCCCAAUAAUAUGAAGGGCCAACAAAUUGUGCAAGCCAGUGAAUUCAAGGAGGUCAGAGCAGGCACUCCAGAACCA